rnacentral:rRNA from 1 species
AGUGAACGCUGGCGGUAGGCCUAACACAUGCAAGUCGAACGGCAGCACAGUAAGAGCUUGCUCUUACGGGUGGGGAGUGGCGGAAGGGUGAGGUAUAUAUCGGAAUCUACUUUUUCGUGGGGGAUAACGUAGGGAGACUUACGCUAGUAUCGCAUAUGACCUUCGGGUGAAAGCAGGGGAUAUUCGGACCUUGCGCGAUUGAAUGAGCCGAUGUGGGAGUAGCUAGUUGGCGGGGUAAAGGCCCACCAAGGCGAGGAUACGUAGCUGGUGUGAGAGGAUGAUCACCGGCACGGGAACUGGGACACGGUCCAGACGCCUACGGGAGGCAGCAGUGGGGUAUAUUAGACAAUAGGCGCGAGCCUGGUCCAGCCAUACCACGUGUGUGAAGAAGGCCUUCGGUUUGUAAAGCCCUUUUGUUGGGAAAGAAAAGCAGCAGGUUAAUACCCCGCUGGUCUGACGGUACCCAAAGAAGAAGCACCGGCUAACUUCGUG